GACGAACGCUGGCGGCGUGCUUAACACAUGCAAGUCGAACGGAAAGGCCCUGCUUUUGUGGGGUGCUCGAGUGGCGAACGGGUGAGUAACACGUGAGUAACCUGCCCUUGACUUUGGGAUAACUUCAGGAAACUGGGGCUAAUACCGGAUAGGAGCUCCUGCUGCAUGGUGGGGGUUGGAAAGUUUCGGCGGUUGGGGAUGGACUCGCGGCUUAUCAGCUUGUUGGUGGGGUAGUGGCUUACCAAGGCUUUGACGGGUAGCCGGCCUGAGAGGGUGACCGGCCACAUUGGGACGGAGAUACGGCCCAGGCUCCUACGGGAGGCAGCAGUGGGGAAUAUUGCACAAUGGGCGGAAGCCUGAUGCAGCAACGCCGCGUGCGGGAUGACGGCCUUCGGGUUGUAAACCGCUUUCGCCUGUGACGAAGCGUGAGUGACGGUAAGGGGUAAAGAAGCACCGGCUAACUACG
rnacentral:rRNA from 1 species